UACGUAGGGGGCGAGCGUUGUCCGGAAUUACUGGGCGUAAAGGGCGCGUAGGCGGCCCGCUAAGUCGAACGUGAAAUCCCCGAGCUCAACUCGGGAACUGCGUCCGAUACUGGCGGGCUUGAAUCCGGGAGAGGGAUGCGGAAUUCCAGGUGUAGCGGUGAAAUGCGUAGAUAUCUGGAGGAACACCGGUGGCGAAGGCGGCAUCCUGGACCGGCAUUGACGCUGAGGCGCGAAAGCUAGGGGAGCAACGGG
rnacentral:rRNA from 1 species